GUGCUCACUUGGCAGCACAUACACUACAAUGGGAACAAUACAGAGAAGAUUAGCAUGGUCCCUGUGCAAGAAUGACACGCAAAAUUUUGAAGCAUUGUAUAUAUAU